UGCCGCGGCCAAAGCUUUCACAGUUUGUCACCAUCGAAGAUCUGCUCACUGCUGCCGGCUCGGAGCCUCAUGAUUGUUCCCUCUAUCUCUCUCGGAACCCUGCGAUCCCCGCCGUCGCUGGUCAUGAUGGCCCAAGAACUACUCCAAGGUGUCGACAAGGCGAGUUGUACAUGCCGCCGCCGAUCUCCUCCUCUAACAUCACUUGCGCCAGAGUAGGGAGCUCUUUUCCAUCCCCAGCGACCUUCCCCGCGGCAACAAUUCCGGGUUCUUCUGUUGCCGCAACAAUCAUCUACGUACAUAAAUGAAAAAAAUAUUGGAAGUUACUCUUAUGAACAUACUUGCAUUCUUUCUCAAAUUUAAAAUAACUAUGUGGUGACUAUCAGUAUUUGAUUGUUAUGCUGCUAAUAACAAUUCUAACCUCAAAGGUUUUAACUCGCUGAGAGGAUAAGGAACGAUGACAUUUUGUAUAGCUGGUUAUCUUUCAUCCAAUAGGCGGAUCAAGGUGGAGAAUGCAAGAUGAUUACUUUCGGGGACAUUAACACCACGAGGCUGGCAAAUUAGUAUGAAAUAUAUCUGUUUCUUGC